rnacentral:rRNA from 1 species
AAGGAUUCCCCUAGUAAUGGCGAAUGAAGAGGGAAAAGCUCAAAUUUUAAAUCUACCUGGUUCCCAGGUCGAGUUGUAAUUUGAAGAAGCGAUAUCGGUGUGGAGGUCUGGUUCAAGUUCUUUGGAACAAGACAUCAUGGAGGGUGAGAAUCCCGUGCAUGAUCAGACCAAGAUACUUAAUAUUCGCUUUCUAAGAGUCGAGUUGUUUGGGAAUGCAGCUCAAAUUGGGUGGUAGACUUCACCUAAGGCUAAAUAUCAGCGAGAGACCGAUAGCGAACAAGUACUGUGAAGGAAAGAUGAAAAGAACUUUGAAAAGAGAGUUAAAUAGUACGUGAAAUUGUUGAAAGGGAAACGAUUGAAGUCAGUCAUGCUAGUGAAAAUUCAGUUUGGUGGGUUUUGGGUUCAGGAGUUGAGGCAGGGUCAAACCGUUUCUCUUUUGAACUUGGAAUUUGUCAAAUGCACUUUUUCUUUGGCAGGUCAGCGUCAAUUUCGGAGGUUGUAAAAUACUUGGGGAAAAGUAGCUCUGCUUCGGGGGAGUGUUAUAGACCUUGGGUGAUGCGGCCUGCGGGAUCGAGGAUUGCAGCAAAUGCUUUUGGCUUGUCGCCUGAUCUCUGGACGUCAUCUCGCUUGUAUCAACAUUCUUGGUACCGGUGAGUAAUGGUGCUCAUAGGUUAAAGCGAUCAAAAAUUUUGCUAAGGAUGCUGACGUAAUGGCUUUAAACGACCCGUCUUGAAACACGGACCAAGGAGUCUAAC